UGGCUCAGAUUGAACGCUGGCGGCAUGCCUUACACAUGCAAGUCGAACGGUAACAGGUCUUUCGGGAUGCUGACGAGUGGCGAACGGGUGAGUAAUACAUCGGAACGUGCCUAGUAGUGGGGGAUAACUACUCGAAAGAGUGGCUAAUACCGCAUGAGAUCUAUGGAUGAAAGCAGGGGACCUUCGGGCCUUGUGCUACUAGAGCGGCCGAUGGCAGAUUAGGUAGUUGGUGGGAUAAAAGCUUACCAAGCCUACGAUCUGUAGCUGGUCUGAGAGGACGAUCAGCCACACUGGGACUGAGACACGGCCCAGACUCCUACGGGAGGCAGCAGUGGGGAAUUUUGGACAAUGGGGGAAACCCUGAUCCAGCAAUGCCGCGUGCAGGAUGAAGGCCUUCGGGUUGUAAACUGCUUUUGUACGGAACGAAAAGUCUU
rnacentral:rRNA from 1 species